GAUGAACGCUGGCGGCGUGCCUAAUACAUGCAAGUCGAGCGAACAGAUGAGGAGCUUGCUCCUCUGACGUUAGCGGCGGACGGGUGAGUAACACGUGGAUAACCUACCUAUAAGACUGGGAUAACUUCGGGAACCCGGAGCUAAUACCGGAUAAUAUAUUGAACCGCAUGGUUCAAUAGUGAAAGACGGUUUUGCUGUCACUUAUAGAUGGAUCCGCGCCGCAUUAGCUAGUUGGUAAGGUAACGGCUUACCAAGGCAACGAUGCGUAGCCGACCUGAGAGGGUGAUCGGCCACACUGGAACUGAGACACGGUCCAGACUCCUACGGGAGGCAGCAGUAGGGAAUCUUCCGCAAAGGGCGAAAGCCUGACGGAGCAACGCCGCGUGAGUGAUGAAGGUCUUCGGAUCGUAAAACUCUGUUAUUAGGGAAGAACAAAUGUGUAAGUAACUAUGCACGUCUUGACGGUACCUAAUCAGAAAGCCACGGCUAACUACGUG
rnacentral:rRNA from 1 species